rnacentral:rRNA from 1 species
AUACGGAGGUUGCAAGCGUUGUUCGGAAUAACUGGGCGUAAAGGGAGCGCAGGCGGUUCGGUAAGUCUGAAGUGAAAUCCCAGGGCUCAACUCUGGACCUGCUUCGGAUACUGCCGAGCUUGAGUACGUGAGAGGAGAGUGGAAUUCCAGGUGUAGCGGUGAAAUGCGUAGAUAUCUGGAGGAACACCAGUGGCGAAAGCGGCUCUCUGGCACGUUACUGACGCUGAGGCUCGAAAGCGUGGGGAGC